rnacentral:lncRNA from 1 species
CGGGAAGUCGGCCGGCAUCCUCGAAAGCAGCGGGUUUGGUUGCAGCGGCGGCGGAGGCCAGAUGGUACAAGAAGUUGGCCUGCGCCUGCACGCUGGGAGGCUUGCAGAAGCUGGUGCGCCUGAAACGGAUGCUCUGCACUGACACUUGGCUGGACCCGGAGCUGGAGUCUGACUCGGUGGAAGAAUCCUCCUCCUCCGAGCUGAUUUCACUGGAAUCCGAGGCCCCGCUGCCCCCCUCUUCCUCCUCCUCCUCUUCCUCCUCCUCCUCUCCUUCCUCCUCCUCUUCCUCUGAGGACACCGAGUUGCUGGAGCUGGACAAACUGGAGCCAAAAUCCGAGUCAUUGGCUGCAUGGUCGGAGUAGGAGCUGGACUCGGAGUCGCUGCUACAACUCUCGGGAAAGCUUCCUAGAUGGGGUUGCGGCCGGUGGUGAUGAGAGGGGUGGUGACUCGGCGUUGGCUGCUGGGCUCGGUGGUGAUGGUGAUGAUGAUGGUGGUGAUGGUGAUGGUGGUGGUGGGGAGGCGGGCAGAAGCUGUUGACCAGAUGAAACCUCUCCAAGCAAGUGGCCCCGGCCGCCGCCGCCGCAGCAGCAGCCGCCGCUGCUGCCGCCGCCGCCGCCUUGGCUUUGUAGGAUCUGGGCAGCAGCAGCAGGCGCCGGGCUCCGGCGUGAGGCGGGAGCAGGCAGUUCUUGGCGCCCCCGCGCUUGCGCUUGCAGCGAUGAUCCAUGCGCUUGUGCACGGUCG